rnacentral:rRNA from 1 species
CCAGACUCCUACGGGAGGCAGCAGUGGGGAAUAUUGCACAAUGGGCGAAAGCCUGAUGCAGCAACGCCGCGUGAAGGAAGACGGUUUUCGGAUUGUAAACUUCUAUCAAUAGGGAAGAAAGAAAUGACGGUACCUAAAUAAGAAGCCCCGGCUAACUACGUGCCAGCAGCCGCGGUAAUACGUAGGGGGCAAGCGUUAUCCGGAAUUACUGGGUGUAAAGGGAGCGUAGACGGUGAUGUAAGUCUGGAGUGAAAGGCGGGGGCCCAACCCCCGGACUGCUCUGGAAACUAUGUGACUGGAGUGCAGGAGAGGUGAGCGGAAUUCCUAGUGUAGCGGUGAAAUGCGUAGAUAUCAGGAGGAACACCGGUGGCGAAGGCGGCCUGCUGGACUGCAACUGACGUUGAGGCCCGAAAGCGUGGGGAGCAAACAGGAUUAGAUCCCCCAGUA